GCACAAUUGAGGAAGAUAUUGAACAAAAUACAGUUUUGAGAGAGACAUCUAUGAAUAUUGUGAAUUUACCUUGCUGUAUGCUAGCAUGCUGUAGUGUCUUAAAUCUAAUUUUCAAGGCAUCUUAUCCUAACAGGAAGGAGAGGAGAUUGCUUAUUUCUAUAAGUCAUCUUCAUUGUCAUGUUAUUUCUUUUCCAAUACUGAACAACUUUUAAAGCAGCUGAGCCAAAAGGACAAGUGAGUCCAGUACUCAUAUUAGCCUGUAAACUGCAGACUUCAGGGAGACAUGGAAAGAAACAGACUGCUUCCUCUGUCCUUAUGCUCCCUUCCCUAAGUGCUCACUUCCCUCUCUCCAAGUUUCCUGCAGAAAUGGUAUGUUGUGGGAAUUAUAUACUCUCUGGAACAUCUGGGUUUGCUAUGGAAAACAGCACGAUACUUUGCAUAACCAGACAGAUUACACCAAAAAGGAAUCAGACCUGGGAGGAACUGUGGACUCCUGGAGUAUUGUAAUUUCAAGUUGAUCAGUUUGUGUAUGUGUUACUUGGAGAAAAAGAAAAUGGCGAGCAGCUCAUGACUGGAAAGAUGAAUGUCUUGUCUGCCAAAGGAAAGUAGUUCUGAUUAAAGAUACGUCAUCCAAGCUACCUUGUUUCUGUGUCAGACGUUCUCUGAGUAAGCCUCUGUGCCACGUCCUACCUGUAAAGCAAGGGAAGGGGUGACUGGAUUUGCAGAUGAUCUUUGUUGAUUCAUUACAUGAUGCAGGGAAGAACUCUGAGCUGGAAGGCUUGGAUCCUGAGCCCAAGGAAACAGUGUCUACAAUAAAUUUGGAGAGACCUUUCCUUAUGAGAGGUGA
rnacentral:lncRNA from 1 species